rfam:Desulfovibrio sp. FW1012B chromosome, whole genome shotgun sequence.
AGCCAAGUAAUUAAGGGCAAUCGGUGGAUGCCUUGGCGCUGAGAGGCGAUGAAGGACGCGGUAGGCGGCGAUACGCACCGGGGAGCAGCCAAACGUGCUUUGAUCCGGUGGUUUCCGAAUGGGGAAACCCGGCGGGAGUCAUGUCCCGUCAUCCCUUGACCGAAUACAUAGGUCUUGGGAAGCGAACGUGGGGAAGUGAAACAUCUCAGUACCCACAGGAGAAGAAAUCAAGCGAGAUUCCCAAAGUAGCGGCGAGCGAAAUGGGAAGAGCCCAAACCGGGCGCAUCCGUGCGUCCGGGGUUGUAGGGCCUCCACAAAGUGAUCCACAAGUAGGCAGGGGAAGUGUCUGGGAAGGCACGCCGUAGAGGGUGAAAGCCCCGUACCUGAAACCCAACGUGGCGCUGGAGGUACCUGAGUACCACGAGACACGCGAAAUCUCGUGGGAAUCCGGGAGGACCAUCUUCCAAGGCUAAAUACUCCUCAGCGACCGAUAGUGAACCAGUACCGUGAGGGAAAGGUGAAAAGAACCCCUGUGAGGGGAGUGAAACGAGAACCUGAAACCGAUUGCCUACAAGCGGUUCGAGCCGGGCUUGCCCGGUGAGAGCGUGCCUUUUGCAUAAUGAGCCAGCGAGUUUCCUUGUCGUGCGAGGUUAAGAGUAAAAUCUCGGAGCCGCAGCGAAAGCGAGUCUGAAUAGGGCGCUUAGUACGGCGAGGAAGACCCGAAACCGGGUGAUCUAUCCAUGAGCAGGUUGAAGCUCGGGUAAAACCGAGUGGAGGACCGAACCCAUAUGGGCUGAAAACCAUUGGGAUGACUUGUGGAUAGGGGUGAAAGGCCAAUCAAACUCGGUGAUAGCUGGUUCUCCCCGAAAUAUAUUGAGGUAUAGCCUCGGAUAGGAAGCACGGAGGUAGAGCACUGAAAGGGCUAGGGGCCCCACCAGGUUACCAAACCCUAUCAAACUCCGAAUGCCGUGCUUUUAUUGUCCGGGAGUCAGACUCUGGGUGCGAAGGUCCAGGGUCGAGAGGGUAAGAGCCCAGAUCGACGGCUAAGGUUCCCAAAUCCAUGCUCAGUGGGAAAGGAAGUGGGACCGCUCUGACAGCCAGGAGGUUGGCUUAGAAGCAGCCAUCCUUUAAAGAAAGCGUAAUAGCUCACUGGUCUAGUGGUCCUGCGCCGAAAAUGUAACGGAGCUAAGCAUGGUACCGAAGCCUCGGGUCCAGCCUUGCGCUGGACGGUAGGGGAGCGUUCCCAGACGGGAUGAAGGCAGGUUGUAAAGCCUGCUGGACUAAUGGGAAGUGAUAAUGCUGGCAUAAGUAACGAUAAAACGGGUGUGAAACCCGUUCGCCGUAAGCCCAAGGUUUCCUGGGUAAAGUUAAUCUUCCCAGGGUGAGUCGGUCCCUAAGGCGAGGCCGAAAGGCGUAGCUGAUGGAAAACAGGUUAAUAUUCCUGUACCUGUUCGCGUGUGCGAUGGAGGGACGCAGGAGGGUAGGUCAGCCGGCUGUUGGACGUGCCGGUACAAGCGUGUAGGCUUGAGGAGUAGGCAAAUCCGCUCCUCUGGACGGCCGAGACGUGAUGUCGUGUCAAUCGACUGAAGUGACUAAUCCCAUGCUGCCGAGAAAAGCUUCUAAGUUUAGCACGAGCAGACCGUACCGCAAACCAACUCAGGUGGGCGGGGAGAGUAUCCCAAGGCGCUUGAGAGAACUCUGGUUAAGGAACUCGGCAAAAUGACCCCGUAACUUCGGGAUAAGGGGUGCCCCCUAGAGUGAAGCACUUGCUGCGUAAGCUUCGGGGGGUCGCAGUGAAACGGUGGUGGCGACUGUUUACUAAAAACACAGGUCUGUGCGAAGUCGUAAGACGACGUAUACGGACUGACGCCUGCCCGGUGCCGGAAGGUUAAGGGGUGGGGUUAGCGCAAGCGAAGCUCUAAACCGAAGCCCCGGUAAACGGCGGCCGUAACUAUAACGGUCCUAAGGUAGCGAAAUUCCUUGUCGGGUAAGUUCCGACCUGCACGAAUGGCGUAACGAUCUCCACGCUGUCUCAACCAGAGACUCAGUGAAAUUGAUGUGGCGGUGAAAAUGCCGUCUACCCGCGGAAAGACGGAAAGACCCUGUGCACCUUUACUAUAGCUUGACAUUGGAGCUUGGACAAUCGUGUGUAGGAUAGGUGGGAGACUGUGAAACCGGCGCGCCAGCGUCGGCGGAGUCAACCUUGAAAUACCACCCUCGGUUGUUUAAGCUUCUAACCUGAUGCCGUCAUCCGGCUCGGGGACAUUGUCUGGUGGGUAGUUUGACUGGGGCGGUCGCCUCCCAAAAAGUAACGGAGGCAUGCAAAGGUUCCCUCAGGCUGAUUGGAAACCAGCCGUCGAGUGCAAAGGCAUAAGGGAGCUUGACUGUGAGAGAGACAUCUCGAUCAGGCACGAAAGUGGGCCUUAGUGAUCCGGUGGUCCCGCAUGGAAGGGCCAUCGCUCAAUGGAUAAAAGGUACGCCGGGGAUAACAGGCUGAUCGCAUCCAAGAGUUCACAUCGACGAUGCGGUUUGGCACCUCGAUGUCGGCUCAUCACAUCCUGGGGCUGGAGCAGGUCCCAAGGGUUCGGCUGUUCGCCGAUUAAAGUGGUACGCGAGCUGGGUUUAAAACGUCGUGAGACAGUUUGGUCCCUAUCUUCCGUGGGCGUUGGAGAAUUGAGAGGGGUUGUCCCUAGUACGAGAGGACCGGGAUGAACGAACCUCUGGUGUUCCUGUUGUCACGCCAGUGGCAUCGCAGGGUAGCCACGUUCGGAAAGGAUAACCGCUGAAAGCAUCUAAGCGGGAAGCCUGCCUCAAGACGAGUUCUCCCUGAAGGACCCGGGUAGACUACCCGGUUGAUAGGCCGGAUGUGCAAGAGCAGUAAUGUUCUCAGCAAACCGGUACUAAUAGUCCGUUCGACUUGAUUUU